rnacentral:rRNA from 1 species
UACGGGGGGGGCAAGCGUUGUUCGGAAUUAUUGGGCGUAAAGAGCUCGUAGGCGGCCUGUUGCGUCCGCUGUGAAAUCCCGGGGCUCAACCCUGGGCGUGCAGUGGAUACGGGCAGGCUGGAGGCAGGCAGGGGAGAACGGAAUUCCCGGUGUAGCGGUGAAAUGCGUAGAGAUCAGGAAGAACACCGGUGGCGAAGGCGCUCUGCUAGGCCGCAACUGACACUGAGGGACGAAAGCUAGGGGAGCGAAUGGG